rnacentral:rRNA from 1 species
CCUACGGGAGGCAGCAGUGGGGAAUAUUGGACAAUGGGCGAAAGCCUGAUCCAGCAAUGCCGCGUGAGUGAUGAAGGCCUUAGGGUUGUAAAGCUCUUUUACCAGGGAUGAUAAUGACAGUACCUGGAGAAUAAGCUCCGGCUAACUCCGUGCCAGCAGCCGCGGUAAUACGGAGGGAGCUAGCGUUGUUCGGAAUUACUGGGCGUAAAGCGUACGUAGGCGGUUAUUCAAGUCAGAGGUGAAAGCCUGGAGCUCAACUCCAGAACUGCCUUUGAAACUAGAUAGCUAGAAUCUUGGAGAGGUGAGUGGAAUUCCGAGUGUAGAGGUGAAAUUCGUAGAUAUUCGGAAGAACACCAGUGGCGAAGGCGACUCACUGGACAAGUAUUGACGCUGAGGUACGAAAGCGUGGGGAGCAAACAGGAUUAGAUACCCUGGUAGUCCACGCCGUAAACGAUGAUAACUAGCUGUUCGGGCUCUACGAGCUUGAGUGGCGCNGCUACGCAUUAAGUUAUCCGCCGUCGGGAGGUACGGUCGCAGAAUUAAACUUAAAUAGAGUAGUACGCGNGAGACGUGCCGACGACGACGACGAGGGAGGUUAGG